GGAAGAGGGGGCUUGAAGGUGGGUGAGCCCCAAAUGUGACCUUCAACUCCUGGGAAGCUGUAGGCAAGGACAUAGCCAAGGCAAAACCAUCAAGAAUGUAAUUCACCAACAGAAACAUUCACUGACCACCCUCGGGGCCUGAAGGUCUUUCCAAAGAGCCUUGCUGCUGAGCACAUGAUGAACUUCAAACAAUAGCGAAGUCAGGAGCCAGGCGCUGAUGACCCCCAGGAGGAAGCUUGCAGAGGAUGAUGGGACAGAGGGGGAUGGGCAGGAGUCUAAGCAGGCGCUCAGGGAGGCCGCUUUCGUCAAGGAUGCUGAAAGAAUGGGGGUCUCAUGGAUUCUGGGAGAGAUGGUCCAAGGCAGAGGGACAGCCAGUGUGGGCCUGGAAAGAUGUGUGCCGCAUGUCUGAGGGGCAGGGGCCAAUGUGGCUGGAGGUAGAUGGGAGAGGAGGACACUAGGGGCUGAGGUCAGAGGGGACACAACUGGAUCUGUGCGAGACCUUGCAUGCCACUGAAAGGGCGCUGGCUGUCACUGUCGUGACCAGAGCCUCUGGGCAGGUCUUCACAGAGGUCAGGCUGACUGCACUUGCGGAUGGAUUGAAUAGCAGUAGUUAGAGGACAGCAUGCAUGGCUCAGGGAGGAUUCCCAGGAUUUGGGAUGCACAGCUGGAAGAAGGGAGGAGCUCCUGAAUGAGGAGUGGGAGGUCCGGGAAGGGCAGCCUUGGUGGGGAGAGACGCCGGGACCUGCAGAGAAACUCCCUGAAAAGAACAGGGCUGAGCCAUCUUUACCCCAGGCUCAGGACCUUCCUUCGCUGUAACUGCCAGGACAAUCCACUGUGCUGUCACUCAGAGAGCGAAACCAGCCUGACUUUGCACCUGUGUCUCCAAGGGAUAAAGGUCAAUGUCACAGCAGACUCCACUCUGAUGCUGUCUUCAAGCCAAAACCUUAAUAUUCAAUGAGAAAUCUGCAUUGAUGAAAUUUUCAUUAAACAAACUUUAUCCCUCUCAC
rnacentral:lncRNA from 1 species